rnacentral:rRNA from 1 species
AACGAACGCUGGCGGCAUGCCUUACACAUGCAAGUCGAACGGCAGCACGGGAGCAAUCCUGGUGGCGAGUGGCGAACGGGUGAGUAAUAUAUCGGAACGUGCCCAGUCGUGGGGGAUAACGUAGCGAAAGCUACGCUAAUACCGCAUACGAUCUAUGGAUGAAAGCGGGGGAUCGCAAGACCUCGCGCGAUUGGAGCGGCCGAUAUCAGAUUAGGUAGUUGGUGAGGUAAAGGCUCACCAAGCCGACGAUCUGUAGCUGGUCUGAGAGGACGACCAGCCACACUGGGACUGAGACACGGCCCAGACUCCUACGGGAGGCAGCAGUGGGAAUUUUGGACAAUGGGCGCAAGCCUGAUCCAGCAAUGCCGCGUGCAGGAUGAAGGCCUUCGGGUUGUAAACUGCUUUGUACGGAACGAAACGGUGAGCUCUAAUACAGUUUGCUAAUGACGGUACCGUAAGAAUAAGCACCGGCUAACUACGUG